AACGAACGCUGGCGGCAUGCCUAACACAUGCAAGUCGAACGAGACCUUCGGGUCUAGUGGCGCACGGGUGCGUAACGCGUGGGAACCUGCCCUUAGGUUCGGAAUCACUCACCGAAAGGGGUGCUAAUACCGGUUAAUGUCUUCGGACCAAAGAUUUAUUGCCUUUGGAUGGGCCCGCGUUGGAUUAGCUAGUUGGUAGGGUAAAAGCCUACCAAGGCGACGAUCCAUAGCUGGUCUGUUAGGAUGAUCAGCCACACUGGGACUGAGACACGGCCCAGACUCCGACGGGAGGCAGCAGUGGGGAAUAUUGGACAAUGAGCGAAAGCCUGAUCCAGCAAUGCCGCGUAAGUGAUGAAGGCCUUAGGGUUGUAAAGCUCUUUUACCCGGGAUGAUAAUGACAGUACCGGGAGAAUAAGCUCCGGCUAACUCCGUG
rnacentral:rRNA from 1 species